GUAUACAGUGAUUGCCACAUCUUAGUACUUUAACACAAUGCGAAGUAAAGCUAUUUCUAGGCAAGAAAAGGAAAUGCAACAACGCUGAAACUUCGGCUAAAGCAAGAGCUAAAAGAUUGGUGUACUAAUGGUAUAACAUGCGUCUGUAGUUAUGGUUGUUGCUUUUUUUUACUCAUUAAACACUUGAGCAACA